rnacentral:rRNA from 1 species
UUGAAAUCUGGCUCUCGGGCCCGAGUUGUAAUUUGUAGAGGAUGCUUUUGGCAAGGUGCCUUCCGAGUUCCCUGGAACGGGACGCCAUAGAGGGUGAGAGCCCCGUCUGGUUGGACACCGAGCCUCUGUAAAGCUCCUUCGACGAGUCGAGUAGUUUGGGAAUGCUGCUCUAAAUGGGAGGUAUAUGUCUUCUAAAGCUAAAUACUGGCCAGAGACCGAUAGCGCACAAGUAGAGUGAUCGAAAGAUGAAAAGCACUUUGAAAAGAGAGUUAAAAAGCACGUGAAAUUGUUGAAAGGGAAGCGCUUAUGACCAGACUUGGGCUUGGUUGAUCAUCCGGCGUUCUCGCCGGUGCACUCUUCCAGUUCAGGCCAGCAUCAGUUUGCCUCGGGGGAUAAAAGUAGCGGGAAUGUGGCUCCUCCGGGAGUGUUAUAGCCCGCUGCAUAAUACCCUGUGGCAGACUGAGGACCGCGCUUCGUGCAAGGAUGCUGGCGUAAUGGUCAUCAGCGACCCGUCUUGAAACACGGACCAAGGAGUCGUCUUCGUAUGCGAGUGUUCGGGUGUCAAACCCCUACGCGUAAUGAAAGUGAACGCAGGUGAGAGCUUCGGCGCAUCAUCGACCGAUCCUGAUGUUCUCGGAUGGAUUUGAGUAAGAGCAUACGGGGCCGGACCCGAAAGAAGGUGAACUAUGCCUGUGUAGGGUGAAGCCAGAGGAAACUCUGGUGGAGGCUCGCAGCGGUUCUGACGUGCAAAUCGAUCGU